CGUAAUGGGCGGGCUGUGCAGGGGCAUUUUCGGAUGCGCCGGUCCUUGCCCGGUAGACCAACCCUGUACGGUUCCGUCCACCCUG
rnacentral:antisense_RNA from 1 species